rnacentral:misc_RNA from 1 species
AUUUAUUUUUGCUGUCAGUUAGCUAAAAUUUCAUUAACUCAUAAAGGGUUUGAAUUUUCUCCGAUGAAGGCGGCAGAAUUUUUGAUGAGUGGGGCAAUCGAGUAACGUGAAAAGAGCGGAAAGGCUAGGUUGACCCAUGACGGUUGACUUUAGAAGUUCUAGUUGCCUUCCGAGAAUAAAAAGACUAAAGAGCCCCUGUUUUGAAGCGGGAAGCUGCCGUUUGUUUCCGUGUUUCAGUGUACUUGCUGUCUCUGAAACAAAACAUUAGCUCUUCCUUCCCUGAACCUCGUCUGCAAUUGUAAACUUCAAAUUAAAACACAAAUUCUUAAUCUCAAUCUCCUUAAUGCCGAAAAUAACCCUCGUUUCUUUCUUAAUUCACUUUUUCACCCUUUUCCUUUUCCUCCUCAGUCAUUCCAAGUCCCAGAGCUAUGAUCAGCAGGAACAAGCAAUCCUUCUAAGGCUAAGGCAAUACUGGCAAAAUCAACCUCCUCUUAAUCAAUGGAACCCAUCAAUCUCUUCCUCUCAUUGUACUUGGCCAGGAGUCAGCUGCACCAACAGCUACGUCUCUGGACUUGAUUUUUCCAACAUGAAUAUCGCCGGACAGAUCCCACCCUUCAUUUGUGACCUCGACAACCUGACCGUUCUUGAUUUUUUUAACAACAGCUUCAUUGGAAUGUUCCCUGUGGUUCUCUUUAAUUGUUCAAAGCUCCAGUACUUGAACCUCUCUCAAAACUUCUUCGUUGGCUUCAUUCCUGAUGAUAUUGACCGCUUCACCAGGCUCUCAUCCCUUAACCUUUCCGGCAACAACUUCACUGGUAACUUCCCAGCGGCCAUUGGGCGUUUGCAGCAGCUAAAAGAACUUCAGUUUGAUCAGAAUCUGUUUAACGGUACUUUCCCUCCUGAAAUUGGCAACUUGUCCAACCUUGAAAGGCUGUCUAUGGCUUACAACGGUUUUUUACCUUCGAGACUGCCUUCCAAUUUCACCCAGCUAAAGAAACUCAAGUGGUUCUGGAUUUCUGAAGCAAAUCUGAUUGGUGAGAUUCCAGAAACUAUCGGAGAUAUGGUGGCACUGGAGCACUUGGAUUUAGCAAGAAAUAGACUAACAGGGAGUAUUCCCAAGAGUUUGUUCAUGAUGAAGAACUUGAGUGUGCUGUAUCUUUUCAAGAACGAGCUAUCGGGGGAGAUCCCUCGUGCUGUUGAAGCUUUGAAUUUAGUUGAACUCGAUCUUUCAGAUAAUAAUUUGACAGGGACAAUACCUGAUGAUUUUGGAAAGCUUCGGAAAUUAUCACUUUUGAAGCUGUUCUACAAUCAAUUAUCAGGUGAAAUCCCGAACAGUAUUGGUCGUCUUCCAGCAUUGAUAUAUUUUAGCUUAUUUAGCAACAAUUUAUCAGGUGUUCUCCCUCCGGAACUGGGCCGAUAUUCAAAGCUUAAAACGGUUGAGGUUUCAUCCAACAGGCUCAUUGGGAGGCUGCCUGCAUUUUUAUGCAAUGGAGGACAUUUAGUAGGAGUUGCAGCCUUCGAUAACAAUCUCAAUGGGGAGUUGCCAGAAUCGCUUGGGAAUUGCAGUAGUUUGCUUAUAGUAAGUGUUUCACGUAAUGCAUUUAGUGGAAAUAUUCCUGUUGGUCUAUGGACAGCUUUCAAUUUGACAUAUCUGACGUUAAGCGAUAAUUUGUUCAUGGGUGAGCUUCCUAAUGAAGUAUCAGGGAAUCUUUCUAGGCUAGAGAUCAGUAACAACAAGUUUUCUGGUAAAAUUCCUACUGGAGCUUCUUGGAGGAAUCUUGUGGUUUUUAAUGCCAGUAACAACCUGUUUUCUGGCACAAUCCCUCAAGAAUUAACCGCUCUUUCUCGUCUUACUACUCUUUUGCUUGAUAGGAACCAACUCAGUGGAUCCCUUCCUUCUGAUAUAGUCUCAUGGAAGUCAUUAACUACUCUAAAUAUGAGCCGAAAUCAACUUUCUGGACAAAUCCCAGAGGAAUUCGGUUCUCUACCCAAUCUUCUCGAACUUGACUUUUCUGAGAACCAAUUUACAGGCCAAAUUCCACCUCAGUUUAACUCCCUGAGAUUUACUUUUCUCAAUCUCUCUUCCAAUCAUCUCACAGGGGAAAUCCCAAUAAGUUUAGAAAACGCUGCUUAUAAUAACAGCUUCUUGAAUAAUCCUGGUCUCUGUACCAGAAGUUCAUUGCUAAGCCUUAAUGUCUGCAAUUUCAGUACUCAAAAAUCAAGCGAAAAUUCAACCAAACCCAUAGCUCUGAUAUCAAGUGUUUUGGCAACAGUCUUUGCGUUGGCUUCGCUGCUCUCAUUCUUGGUGAUCAGAGUCUACCAAAAGAAAAAGCAAGCAUUAGAUUCAGAAUGGAAGCUUACCUCAUUUCAGAAGUUGGAUUUUACUGUAUCAGAUAUAUUGUCAGGGUUGACAGAAACCAAUCUAAUUGGGAGUGGAGGAUCAGGAAAAGUAUACCGUGUGGCUACGCAUCGAUCAAGUCUUGUUGUUGCUGUGAAAAGAAUUUGCAAUGACAAGAAGUUAGACGAAAAGCUUGAUAAACAGUUCCAUGCAGAAGUUCAGAUUCUGGGUAGAAUAAGGCAUUUGAACAUAGUGAAGUUGCUUUGUUAUAUUUGCAAUGACGAUUCAAAACUUCUUGUCUAUGAGUAUAUGGAGAGAAAAAGCUUGGACCAAUGGCUGCAUGUGAAAAAGAGAUCAACAAGUGUGUACUUAGACUGGCCUAUGAGGUUUCGGAUUGCAGUGGGAGCCGCCCAGGGCUUGUCCUACCUGCACCAUGACUGCUCACCCCCAAUCAUUCUUCGGGAUGUGAAAUCAAGCAAUAUCCUGCUAGAUUCAGCUUUCAAUGCAAAAAUUGCUGAUUUUGGUUUGGCAAGGCUAUUGGUUAAGAAAGGAGAAGCUACAGUUUCUGUUGUGGCUGGAUCUUUCGGCUAUAUAGCUCCAGGUAAGUGAUAUAAUUAUGGAUUUGUUUCCUUCCCCUUUUUUCCAUUACUAAAGAAUCAACUUAAAUUGCAGAGUAUGCUCAAACAGCAAGAAUGAACGAGAAAAUUGAUGUCUACAGCUUUGGGGUUGUCCUUUUAGAACUAACAACUGGGAAGGAGGCUAGUUUUGGAGAUGAGAAUACAUGCUUAGCAGACUGGGCAUGGCGUCACAUGAAUGAAGGAAGACCAAUAGUCGAUGCGUUGGAUAAGGAGAUCAUGGAAUCUUCUUACUUGCAUGAAAUGAGCAUUGUUUUCCAACUUGGGGUAAAGUGUACCAGCAAACUGCCUUCUGCUAGACCUUCCAUGAGAGAGGUCUUACAGGUUCUACUUCAUUACAGUCAUCCCCUUGUUUAUGGAGUGAAGGAUAUGGGAAGAGAUGGCGAUGCCAUUCCCUUCCUAUUGAAUUCAAAGCAUGGAUAUGCAUCAGACUCUGAUGAAAAUGUCUAAUCUCUGACUAUUGGUGCACUUGCAGCCAAACUGUAGUUUUUAGCAUAAAUAAGGUCACUUUCAACUAAGCAAUAGAAUGGUAUAGGAAAGGAAACAGUCAUAAUGCUGUGUGGUUUUAUCACGAUCUCCAUGAAAAUUGUACCUGCUAGUUUAUGUAGAAUGCGUAAAACACAAUGUCCAUGGAGGGAUAGAGAUUGAAUUGAAGGCACUCCCUGGCAUCCCAAGUAUAGUUCUCACCCUUCAACACACCAAGCUCCAGGAUGUAAAGAAAACAGAGUUCUUCUUGUGAUGCACAGAAGUCUCUCGUUAGCAAAUGUUAUCCCUGUACAUACUACUAUGAAAGUAAAUUUAGGAGUUUUUCGCACUCCAUUUGUCAAAGGCAAUACACUCAAACAUGAUUUGCAAAGGGUGGAAUGGGCUGCAGUUAGUAGAAUAGAGUGCAAAAAUCUCAACCUAUCUUUGCUGCUAGUGACCGCAAAAUCUACUUUUUA